UUCAUCAAUAUUUUCAUCAAUAUUUUCAUCAAUAUUUUCAGAUGCUUUCCAGCAUAUCCUUCAUUCAGAAGGUCCUUACAGGGAGCUGGAAACACAAUGUUCCAGUCUGCUGCUGUGACCUCUGCAAGAGCCCACGGCGCAGCAGUCAUGCCUCAGUGGCAGCACAUGUACUGUAGAUGUCACUGAAUUCUAACAGCACUUCUCGAAACACGGCCUGCCGUGUAAUCCUGGCAGUAAUCUAGUGCUACAUUAAAUGCAUUGUUGUCAGUCGAGAAGUAUUAUAGGCCUCUAAAUAUACAGCUGGAUACGCACACAAUAUUAAAUAGCAUUGCACAUAGAGUUCUGCUCUGAGGAUGAAUACCAGCCUAUGUACUUUCAACAACAGACUGCAUUGUGAAGAGCCAAAUUGGUUAUUUCUUUGGCUUCACUGAUGUCAACGAAGUGAGACUUGACUCUGCCCUUCAAUAGCCUGAAUAAGUCAUUAGGCAAAUUAUUGGUGCACUUUGUUUAGAAGCCUGGAUCCUGCAGACGCAUUCUGAGUCAAGCAACUGGUGGUUGCAACAACCUUCGUCAAACGAAUACAGAGCUGAGAUUCAGCCCUGUCAUCUGCUCCUUCAAACUGUCCUGAAUAGAAAGAAAAGCUAACUGUCAGCUCCAAGUCAAUGCAAAACUCACUGGAUGAGGUUCUGAAGACCUGAGAGCAGACAAUCACAGUGUUUCCUGGCAGGUGUUACAAGCUAGGGUCUUUGACUAUGUGCUGCAUUCAUUCUGUUUUCCUAGCAGGAAAAAAAAAAAUCACAACAGGAUGAAGAAUGGCAACUGCAUUGUGCCUCCGGAGCACUAAGCACCGCCACCACACACACAGCUAUUGACAAGGCACAUCGCCAGAACUGCCCAUCAGCCUUCUGAGACACAAAAGUAUAAACAGCCAUGCCAGUCCUCUACAGUGAUGAGUGAGAAGAGCUGAAGAUGACGUUGCUACUGCCAAAAACUGUUUAAAGCACACACACUAAAAAAAGGAUCAUACAUUUCAUCACUAGCCGCAGGAGGAGUGCUACCCUUGACUUGGUUGGACCUCUUAAUAGCACUGACAUCAGUUUUGAGUACUCUGAUCCAGUUCACGUUUGAUGAUGUCUAUGGGAAAAAAAGAAAAGAAAAGCAGCAGUCCCACAAUUGAAGCUCUAUGGAAUUCACUUCUCCCUAACAAUCUGCAUCACACAACUGCUCUCAGAGGUGACUCCAGUUGCCAUCCAAGUCACCCGCCCACCAUCAGCAAUUCCUAAGCCAUUAUACUCAGUUUGGGCCUUCUCAGGAUCUUAACUGUCUCAUGAACUAUUUUAAUCAAUUUACAGUGUUCAUUAAUACACACCGACGUCAUCAGGGGACACAGGAAUCAGCAGUUCAAGCAUGAACAUCUUCGAGAAGGCGCAGACUGAAAGGCCAAGAGUUGUCUCCAUGGCGCCAGGUGUGACUUACUGAGAUCACCAUUUUUGCCUUGAGCUGUUACCAGUUCUAAUGCCCUCCACAAAGAGAAGCAUGAGAGGCGCGAGUUCAGACUGCAGACAGAACUGAAGAGGCUUCAAGACAUCCCUCUGAGUUACGUAAACACACGAGCGGAGUAAAUCCAGCACAGCCACAUGCAGCUGCAUUAUGGAAAACAAGAAGCACAUAAUCCUGCAUCUUCCUUUUUCUCCUGGAUGGCCCCAAAGUGCUCUGGGAACAUCAUUUAAGCCACACACAAAACCUGAGAAUUCAGUACGAUGAAGUGAGCCCUCGUUUGCCCAGUUCCCACGAGCAAUCCCACCACGCCCAGGGAAACACAGCACACAGUGAACCGGCUGCUUAGCCUUGCAAUCGAGUGCCCUGGUUUUGCAGGAUGUCCCAGUCCCUGUGUUUCACCCUGCCGCCCAGCAGCCAAGCCCAGCGAGAUCACGGUCCAGAAAAGACACCCAGGUGGGAAAGCUGCCCUUCUGACCCAACCUGCUCAGCUGGCCAGGCCUGCACACAGCCUGCUGGCCCGAGCCUCCCUCCGUGCUUGUGUUCUCAUCCUGACUGAAAAACUUUAUGAAAUGGUACAGAUUAUUAGUAGUAUUUAAUAUUAAUUAGUGCUGUGCAAUGCACUGGAGACCUAAAGCUAAUGGUAGCCACAGCAGAGGUCACUCAGCUGCUCUCAUUAAGGCUCUGCAGCCCACAAAACACGUAACCCUGCCAACUGAACCUGUCAGUUGGUACAGGUUUCUUCUUUCACUACAUUUAUAUGAAGCAGUACUGAGAGACGAGUUCAUCACUCCCCAACAGAAAUGCAACAUGCAUCACCAGCAAACAGACGAGUGAAAUUGAAAAUCCAGUGGGACUGAUCAGAAAUUACGCUUUCCUAGAUGCUGGCAGGAAUUCAUCAGAAACUUGCAGAGGAAGGUAAUCUAGGACAGCUCUCUCCAACUGCUGUUCAAACACAAGCCUUAAAUUCCUGAGCAGGGCAAGAACACCAAAAAACUCCAAUCACUGAUCUGGCAACCACAACAGCAGGUCUUUGUGCUCUCUCUAUCCAAUGCUGCACCGAAGGUCUCACCCGUAUCUGCAGAAACUGAAAAGUCACUGUAUGACGUACAGGAGCAGAACUGAACACAGCCCCUGCUUAUUCUUCCAGUCCUCUUCUGUUAAAACAGUGUGUUUGUAUUAUGCUACAAAGCAAUGAUGUGUCUGCACAAUCAGGCUCCCUUUUCAAUUACUGGCUAAUUAUUUCAACGCUGCAAAACAGAAAACCGAGUUGCCUUUCCAGCUCCGCUGAACUUCUUGAUAAAUUAUUCUCAAAGAACAAAUGAGAUUUCUCAUUUCAGUGGUAGUCCAAUGUGAACAAAACUUACUCCUUCCAGCUCAGAACCUCUAACACUCUUUUAUUUUAGGUCCUAUUAGAAAUAAAAAGGUGCCAGCAUUCUACCUGGCACUCAAGAAAGCCUUUGAAGCGUGACGCCUGCAACGUCAGAAGAUAAGUAACUGCAGAACUUUGUGCAGAUGAACAAAUGCUUCAAGCCAGCAAGGAAAACUUCAGCAACACUCAGGCAGGGCCACAGCUCUGAAUACACUCCAGUAAGUGAUGCUGCUUCAAACCAGGAUGUGCCUGUACACAGGGCUGGGAGCCUGAGAUGGUGACCUUAAAUACACACACGGAAGAUUAACAUCCACUCUCUAUAUGCUGAAAAAGAAUAGGAAAAGAAAUGCAGCACGCUUGUCAGAUUUCACUGUACUGUUUUGGACAGUCUUUCUGAACACUCACUUCUUCAACUUAAGUUUGCUGUGCUUGGCAAUCUCCUUUGUGUCUUUUGCAACACUGCACACACACAAAUGGCCUGUGGUUUCAUGCUUUGCUUCCCAUUUAAAACUAACACUUAAACAGUAGCUUUAAUUUUGUUAAAUAAAAGCUUUUUUUUCCUGAA